rnacentral:rRNA from 1 species
CAUGCAGUCGAGCGGUACAGGAGAAGCUUGCUUUCUUGCUGACGAGCGGCGGACGGGUGAGUAAUGUAUGGGGAUCUGCCCGAUAGAGGGGGAUAACUACUGGAAACGGUGGCUAAUACCGCAUGACGUCUACGGACCAAAGCAGGGGCUCUUCGGACCUUGCGCUAUCGGAUGAACCCAUAUGGGAUUAGCUAGUAGGUGGGGUAAUGGCUCACCUAGGCGACGAUCUCUAGCUGGUCUGAGAGGAUGAUCAGCCACACUGGGACUGAGACACGGCCCAGACUCCUACGGGAGGCAGCAGUGGGGAAUAUUGCACAAUGGGCGCAAGCCUGAUGCAGCCAUGCCGCGUGUAUGAAGAAGGCCUUAGGGUUGUAAAGUACUUUCAGCGGGGAGGAAGGUGUUAAGAUUAAUACUCUUAGCAAUUGACGUUACCCGCAGAAGAAGGCACCGGCUAACUCCGUGCCAGCCAGCCCGGUAAUACGGAGGGUGCAAGCGUUAAUCGGAUUACUGGGCCGAAAGCCGCACGCAGGCCGGUCAAUUUAAGUCAGAAUUGAAAGCCCCGAACCUUAACUUGGGAAUUGCAUCCUGAAAACUGGUUGGCUAGAGUCUUGUAAAAGGGGGUAA